rnacentral:lncRNA from 1 species
AUCCCGUUCGCAAGGAAUCUCCACAAAUUGGAGUCUCUUGCCCUUACAAGUAUAUGAUCACAGAGAAGCACAGAGUAAGGGAGAGAAGCAACACACACAAAUCCACAGCGAAAUGCGCACACACACGGCCAAGAAUCGAGCUCGAAUGACUAUCUCAAAGUUCUCACUAGAACGGAGCUCGAAUCACUUAGAAUCACAAACGAAUGCGCAAAGAAUGAGUGUGGAUGAUCAAGAAUGCUCUAAGGUUGCUUGGGUGUCUCCUCCAUGCGCCUAGGGGUCCCUUUUAUAGCCCCAAGGCAGCUAGGAGCCGUUGAGAGCAAAUCUGGAAGGCUAUCCUUGCCUUCUGUCGUCGGGUGCACCGGACAGUCCGGUGUACACCGGACACUGUCCGGUGCCCGAUUUCUUUCCAAAAAUGGCGCUGCCGACCGUUGCAGACCGUUGCAGAUCUGAGAGCCGUUGGCGCACCGGACAUGUCCGGUGCCCCCUUCCGACCGUUGGCUCGGCCACCUGUCCCGCGCAGAUUGCGCGGCCGACCGUUGGCUCACCGGACAGUCCGGUGCACACCGGACAGUCCGGUGAAUUUUAGCCGUACGCCGACGGCGAAUUCCCGAGAGCAGCCAGUUCGCGCCGAGUCAGCCUGGCGCACCGGACACUGUCCGGUGCACACCGGACAGUCCGGUGUGCCAGACCGAGCUGAGUCUUGGCUGUACACAGCCAAGUCUUUUUCUCCUCUUUUCUUUUCUUCUUCUUUCUGUUUCUAACACUUAGACAAGUAUAUUAGUAUACAAAACCAAUGUACUAAGGCUUAGAAACAUACCUUUACUUCAUGAUUUGCACUUUGUUCAUCCAUGGACAUAAAUUCACAUUUAAGCACUUGUGUUGGCACUCAAUCACCAAAAUACUUAGAAAUGGCCCAAGGGCACAUUUCCCUUUCAAUCUCCCCCUUUUUGGUGAUUUAUGCCAACACAACAUAAAGCAAGUAGAACAAGUACAAAAUCAAAUCAAAUAAGAACUCAAAAUUGUUUUGAUUCACUUUUGACAUAUAUGGAUCACUCUAUGCCACCACUUGGUUUGUUUUUGCAAAUAAAACUCAAAUCUUUAUCUCUAAGUCAAACACACAUGUUGAAGCAUAAAGAGAGUCAUUCCAAAAGAGAUUGAUCAAAGAUUUCAAAAACUCCCCCUUUUUCCCAUAAUCACUACUUCUCCCCGCAAGAAGCCAACUUUUGAUAAGAGAGACAAGAGACAACAAAAAGAGUUUUGACAAACCAAAAGCUCUAUUUUACUAUUUUCAAAAUGAGAGACAAGAGACAACAAAAAGAGUUUUGACAAACCAAAAGCUCUAUUCUACUAUUUUCAAAAUCUCUCAAGUGGUAGCUGAUCCAUUUAUCACUUUGGCCUUUAUUUUCUCCCCCUUUGGCAUCAAGCACCAAAACGGGAUCAAUCUUGGCCCCAUAACCCCAUUGCCUCACCAAAAUCUUCAAUUAAGAGCAAGUGGCAAUAAGAGUUCAUUAGAUGAACUUGGAAUAGGUUACCCUCUCAUCGGAGUGCAGUGGAAGUCUUUCAUGGUCCAAGUCCACCUUUCCCUUUCAAUUCUCCUUUGAGACUAAAACAAGCAAACUCAAGCAUAUGGUUAGUCUCAAAGGGUCAAGUUGUAACACACCUCCCCCUAAAACUGUGCAUCACUUUGCAACGGACUUGUGAGGUCCAGGGAGUGUUUGUACAACUUGAGCACCACAAUAAGCAACAAGAUACAGAAUGAACAUGAUCAAAGGCAUAAACACAUGUAUGCUACAUUUCAAUCCAAGUUCCGCGAAUCUAAGAUAUUGAGCUCACUACGCAACCUGCAAAAGGUCUUCUCAUCUAAAGGCUUGGUAAAGAUAUCGGCUAGCUGGUUCUCGGUGCUAACAUGAAACACUUCGAUAUCCCCCUUUUGCUGGUGGUCUCUCAAAAAGUGAUGCCGGAUGUCAAUGUGCUUUGUGCGGCUGUGCUCAACAGGAUUUUCCGCUAUUCGGAUAGCACUCUCAUUGUCACAUAGGAGUGGGACUUUGCUCAGAUUGUAGCCAAAGUCCCUGAGGGUUUGCCUCAUCCAAAGUAGUUGCGCACAACACUGUCCUGCGGCAACGUACUCGGCCUCAACGGUGGAUAGGGCAACAGAGGUUUGUUUCUUAGAAUUCCAUGACACCAGGGACCUUCCUAAGAAUUGGCACGUCCCCGAUGUACUCUUCCUGUCGACCUUACAUCCAGCAUAGUCGGAAUCUGAGUACCCAAUCAAGUCAAAGUUAGACCCCUUUGGAUACCAGAUCUCGAAGCAAGGCGUAGCGACUAAAUAUCGAAGAAUUCGCUUCACAGCCACUAAGUGACACUCCUUAGGAUUGGAUUGAAAUCUGGCACACAUGCAUACGCUAAGCAUAAUAUCCGGUCUACUAGCACAUAAAUAAAGUAAAGACCCUAUCAUUGACCGGUAUGCUUUUUGAUCAACGGACUUACCUCCUUUGUUGAGGUCGGUGUGUCCGUCGGUUCCCAUCGGCGUCUUUGCGGGCUUUGCGUCCUUCAUCCCAAACCUCUUUAGCAAAUCUUGUGUGUACUUAGUUUGGGAGAUGAAGGUGCCGUCCUUGAGUUGCUUCACUUGGAACCCAAGGAAGUAGGUCAACUCGCCCAUCAUCGACAUCUCGAAUUUCUGCAUCAUAACCCUGCUAAACUCUUCACAAGACUUUUGGUUAGUAGAACCAAAUAUUAUGUCGUCGACAUAAAUCUGGCACACAAAAAGAUCACCAUCGCAAGUCUUAGUAAAAAGAGUUGGAUCGGCUUUCCCAACCUUGAAAGCAUUAGCAAUUAAGAAGUCUCUAAGGCAUUCAUACCAUGCUCUUGGGGCUUGCUUAAGUCCAUAGAGCGCCUUAGAGAGCUUACACACAUGGUCGGGGUACCGUUCAUCCUCGAAGCCAGGGGGUUGCUCCACGUACACCUCCUCCUUGAUUGGCCCAUUGAGGAAAGCGCUCUUCACAUCCAUUUGGUACAACCUGAAAAAAUGGUGAGCGGCAUAUGCUAGCAAGAUACGAAUUGAUUCUAGCCUAGCCACAGGAGCAAACGUCUCCUCAAAGUCCAAACCUGCGACUUGGGCAUAACCUUUUGCCACAAGUCGAGCCUUGUUCCUCGUCACCACCCCGUGCUCGUCCUGUUUGUUGCGGAACACCCACUUGGUUCCCACAACAUUUUGCUUGGGACGAGGCACCAGUGUCCAAACUUCGUUGCGCUUGAAGUUGUUGAGUUCCUCCUGCAUGGCCAAUACCCAAUCCGGAUCUAGCAAGGCCUCCUCUACCCUGAAAGGCUCAAUAGAAGAGACAAAAUAGUAAUGCUCACAAAAAUUAACUAAUCGAGAUCGAGUAGUUACUCCCUUGCUAAUGUCACCCAGAAUUUGGUCGACGGGAUGAUCCCUUUGAAUCAUCGCUCGAACUUGGGUUGGAGGUGCCGGUUGCGCUUCUUCCUCCAACACAUGAUCAUCUUGUGCUCCCCCUUGAUCACACGCCUCCUGUUGAUGAAUCUGUUCAUCGUCUUGAGUUGGGGGAUGCACCGUUGUUGAGGAAGAAGGUUGAUCUCGUUCAUCUUGUUCCUGUGGCCGUACUUCUCCAAUCGCCAUAGUUCGUAUAGCGGCCGUUGGAACAUCUUCUUCAUCUACAUCAUCACAAUCAACAACUUGCUCUCUUGGAGAGCCAUUAGUCUCAUCAAAUACAACGUCGCUAGAGACUUCAACCAAACCCGAUGAUUUGUUGAAGACCCUAUACGCCUUUGUAUUUGAAUCAUAACCUAAUAAAAACCCUUCUACAGCUUUGGGAGCAAACUUAGAAUUUCUACCCUUCUUCACUAGAAUGUAGCAUUUGCUCCCAAAUACACGAAAGUAAGAUACAUUGGGUUUGUUACCGGUUAGAAGAUCGUACGAAGUCUUCUUGAGGAGGCGAUGAAGGUAGACCCUGUUGAUGGCGUGGCAAGCCGUGUUCACAGCUUCCGACCAAAAGCACUCGGGGGUCUUGAACUCUCCAAGCAUCGUUCUUGCCAUAUCGAUCAGCGUCCUGUUCUUCCUCUCUACCACACCAUUUUGCUGUGGUGUGUAGGGAGCGGAGAACUCGUGCUUGAUCCCUUCCUCCUCAAGGAACUCCUCCACUUGAAGGUUCUUGAACUCGGACCCGUUGUCGCUCCUUAUCUUCUUUACCUUGAGCUCAAACUCAUUUUGAGCUCUCCUGAGGAAGCGCUUGAGGGUCCCUUGGGUUUCAGACUUAUCCUGCAAAAAGAACACCCAAGUGAAGCGGGAAAAGUCAUCAACAAUAACUAGACCAUACUUACUUCCUCCUAUGCUCAGAUAGGCGACGGGUCCAAAGAGGUCCAUAUGCAGCAGCUCCAGAGGUCUUGACGUGGUCAUCACAUUCUUGCUGUGAUGUGCUCCUCCCACUUGUUUACCUGCUUGACAAGCUGCACAAGGUCUAUCUUUUUCGAAAUAAACAUUUGUUAGACCUAUCACGUGUUCUCCCUUUAGAAGCUUGUGGAGGUUCUUCAUCCCCACAUGUGCUAAGCGGCGAUGCCACAGCCAGCCCAUGCAAGUCUUAGCCAUUAAGCAUGCAUCUAGACCGGCCUCUUCUUUUGCAAAAUCAACUAAGUAAAGCUUGCCGUCUAGUACACCCUUAAAAGCUAGUGAACCAUCACAUCUUCUAAAGACAGACACAUCUACAUUAGUAAAAAGACAAUUAUAUCCCAUAUUGCAUAGUUGACUAACAGAUAGCAAAUUGUAACCAAGAGACUCAAUUAAAAAUACAUUUGAUAUUGAGUGCUCAUUAGAGAUUGCAAUUUUACCUAACCCUUUUACCUUGCCUUGAUUCCCAUCACCGAAUAUAAUUGAAUCUUGGGAAUCCUUAUUUUUGACGUAGGAGGUGAACAUCUUCUUCUCCCCCGUCAUAUGGUUUGUGCAUCCGCUGUCGAUAAUCCAGCUUGAACCCCCGGAUGCAUAAACCUGCAAGGCAAAUUUAGGCUUGGGUCUUAGGUACCCAACUCAUGUUGGGUCCUACAAGGUUAGCACAUAUAUCCUUAGGGACCCAAAUGCAAGUUUUAUCUCCCUUGCAUCUUGCCCCUAACUUCCUAGCAAUUACCUUCUUACCCUUUCUACAAAUAGCAAAGGGAGCAUUGCAAGCAUAAUAAAUGGUAGAAGGUUUGUUCACAACUAUUCUAGGAACAUGAUCAAAAUUUCUCCUAGGCAUAUGCACAACAUUUCUCCUACACAUAUCUCUAUCAUGCUUAUAGGAAGAACUAGAAGCAAACAUGGCAUGAGAAUCAUAAACAUGUGAAUCAAAAUCAUUAUAAGCAUUUCUAGCAUGUCUCCUAUCAUGGUAUAAGAAAGCAUGGUUCUUUUUAGCACUACUAGCCAUAGGGGCCUUCCCUUUCUCCUUGACGAAGAUGGGAGCCUUAUGGCUUGUUAAGUUCUUGGCCUCUCUCUUGAAGCCAAGACCAUCCUUAAUUGAGUGGUGUCUACCAACCGUGUAGGCAUCCCUUGCAAAUUUUAUUUUAUCAACUUCACUCUUGCUAGUCUUAAGUUGAGCAUUAAGACUAGCCAAUUCAUCAUUAAGUUUUGAAAUUGAAACUAGGUGUUCACUACAAGCAUUAACAUCAAAAUCCUUACACCUAGUGCAAAUUGUAACAUUUUCAACACAAGAGUUACUUGCUACUUCUAGUUUAGCGGUUAAAACAUUAAUUUCACCUUUUAAAGAAGAAAUGGUUUCAUUACAAGUAGAAAGUUCACAAGAAAGAAUUCCAUUUCUUUUAACUUCUAGAGCAAGUGAAUUUUGUGCACUAACAAAUUUAUCAUGCUCUUCAUAUAAAAGAUCUUCUUGUUUUUCUAAGAUUCUAUCCUUUUCAUUCAAGGCAUCAAUCAAUUCAUUAAUCUUAGCUAUCUUAGUUCUAUCCAAUCCCUUGAAUAAACUAGAAUAAUCUAUUUCAUCCUCACUCGACUCAUCAUCACUAGAAGAAUCAUAAGUAUUAGCAUUACUAGUGAUUACCUUCUUCUCCCUUGCCAUGAGGCAAGUGUGACGCUCGUGGGGGAAGAGAGCCGAUUUGUUGAAGGCAGUGGCGGCGAGUCCUUCGUCGUCGGAGUCGGACAAAGAGCAAUCUGAGUCCCACUCCUUUCCAAGGUGUGCUUCACCUUUGGCCUUCUUGUAAACUUUCUUGUUCUCUCUCUUCCCGUUUUUCCCUUGCUCCUGGUCACUAUCAUUUUCGGGACAGUUAGCAAUAAAAUGACCAACCUUACCACAUUUGAAGCAUGAGCGCUUCCCCUUUGUCUUGGUCUUGCUUGUCUGCCCCUUGCGACCAUUUAGCGACGUCUUGAAUCUCUUGAUGAUGAGAGCCAUUUCUUCAUCAUUGAGCCCGGCCGCCUCAACUUGCGCCACCUUGCUAGGUAGCGACUCCUUGCUCCUUGUUGCCUUGAGAGCAAUGGGUUGAGGCUCGUGGAUUGGACCGUUCAACGCUUCGUCGACGUAUCUUGCCUCCUUGAUCAUCAUCCGCCCGCUUACGAAUUUUCCAAGUACUUCCUCGGGCGUCAUCAUCGUGUACCUAGGAUUCUCACGAAUAUUGUUCACGAGAUGAGGAUCAAGAACGGUAAAGGACCUUUGCAUUAGGCGGACGACGUCGUGGUCCGUCCAUCGCGUGCUUCCGUAGCUCCUUAUUUUGUUGAUAAGGGUCUUGAGCCGGUUGUACGUUUGAGUUGGCUCCUCUCCCCUUAUCAUGGCGAAUCAUCCAAGCUCGCCCUCCACCAACUCCAUCUUGGUGAGCAUGGUGAUGUCGUUCCCCUCGUGAGAGAUCUUGAGGGUGUCCCAUAUUUGCUUGGCAUUGUCCAAGCCGCUCACCUUGUUGUACUCUUCCCUGCACAAGGAUGCUAAGAGAACAGUAGUAGCUUGUGCAUUUCUAUGGAUCUGUUCAUUUAUAAGCAAAGGGCUAUCCGAGCUAUCAAAUUUCAUUCCAUUUUCUACAAUCUCCCAUAUGCUUGGAUGGAGAGAGAAUAAGUGACUACGCAUUUUGUGACUCCAAAAUCCGUAGUCCUCCCCAUCGAAGUGUGGAGGUUUGCCAAGAGGAAUGGAAAGCAAAUGCGAAUUCGAACUAUGUUGAAUACGAGAAUAAUCAAAUGAAAAGUUCGAAUUGACCGUCUUUUUGUAGUCGUUGUCGUCGUCCUUUUGGGAAGAAGUAGAUUCAUCACUAUCAUCGUAGUAGAUGAUCUCCUUAAUGCGCCUCGUCUUCUUCUUCUUCCCUUCCUUCCGUCUAUGGCCCGAGCCGGAGUCGGUAGGCUUGUCGUCCUUCGGCUCAUUGACGAAGGAUUCCUUCUCUUUGUCGUUGAUCACAAUUCCCUUCCCCUUAGGAUCCAUCUCUUCGGGCGGUUAGUCCCUUUUGUGAAGAGAACGGCUCUGAUACCAAUUGAGAGCACCUAGAGGGGGGGGUGAAUAGGUGAUCCUGUGAAAACUUGAACUUAUAGCCACAAAAACUUGUUAAGUGUUAGCGCAGAUAAUGCCAAGUGGCUAGAUAGGAGUCUCCACAAAACACAAUAACCACAGAAGAUCAAUCACAGAGAUGGCACAGUGGUUUAUCCCGUGGUUCGGCCAAGACCAACGCUUGCCUACUCCACGUUGUGGCGUCCCAACGGACGAGAGUUGCAAUCAACCCCUCUCAAGCGGUCCAAAGACCAACUUGAAUACCACGGUGUUUUGCUUUGCCUUUCAAUAUCCCGUUCGCAAGGAAUCUCCACAAAUUGGAGUCUCUUGCCCUUACAAGUAUAUGAUCACAGAGAAGCACAGAGUAAGGGAGAGAAGCAACACACACAAAUCCACAGCGAAAUGCGCACACACACGGCCAAGGAAUCGAGCUCGAAUGACUAUCUCAAAGUUCUCACUAGAACGGAGCUCGAAUCACUUAGAAUCACAAACGAAUGCGCAAAGAAUGAGUGUGGAUGAUCAAGAAUGCUCUAAGGUUGCUUGGGUGUCUCCUCCAUGCGCCUAGGGGUCCCUUUUAUAGCCCCAAGGCAGCUAGGAGCCGUUGAGAGCAAAUCUGGAAGGCUAUCCUUGCCUUCUGUCGUCGGGUGCACCGGACAGUCCGGUGUACACCGGACACUGUCCGGUGCCCGAUUUCUUUCCAAAAAUGGCGCUGCCGACCGUUGCAGACCGUUG